rnacentral:rRNA from 1 species
UAUUACUAUUUUUUUCUUAUAAACUUUAAGGGGAGUAAAUAACUUUUGAAAUUUAAAUAACUUGGCAGUAUUUUAUUGCUAUUAGAGGAACUUGUUUAUUAAAUGAUAAUCCACGAUAUGUUUUACUUAGUUUCAUUAAUUUGUAUACCGUUGUCAUAAAUAUAUCUUAAAAUAGUUAUAAUAUAUAAAAUGUCUUAUCAUAAAACAUGUCAAAUAAAGGUGCAGUAAAUAAUUAAGCUUAUUAUGAGUUACAAUUAAAAUAUUAAUACGGAUUUACUUUUAAAAAGUUUAAAUGAAGGUGGAUUUAAUAGUAAAAUAUAUUAUAUAGUAUAUUUGAAAAUAAACUAAAAUGUGUACAUAUCGCCCGUCACUAUCAAUUUGAUAA